rnacentral:rRNA from 1 species
AUUGAACGCUGGCGGCAGGCUUAACACAUGCAAGUCGAGCGAGCGGCGGACGGGUGAGUAAUGUCUGGGAAACUGCCUGAUGGAGGGGGAUAACUACUGGAAACGGUAGCUAAUACCGCAUACCAUCAGAUGUGCCCAGCUGGGAUUAGCUGGUGUGUGGGGUAAUGCCUCACCUAGGCGACGAUCCCUAGCUGGUCGGAGAGGAUGACCAGCCACACUGGAAGUGAGACACGGUCCGGACUCCUACGGGAGGCAGCAGUGGGAAAUAUUGCACAAGGGGCGCAAGCUUUAUGCAGCCAUGCCGCGUGUGUGAAGAAGCCCGUCGGGUUGUAAAGUACUUUCAGCGAGGAGGCGUUACUCGCAGAAGAAGCACCGGCUAACUCCGUGCCAGCAGCCGCGGUAAUAC